AUGGCCGGUUCACAUCAGCUGCUUCGUUCUGAGAAAAAGAAAAUGGCGAAGAUGGUAUGUCGUCAUCAGAAUGGCAAGGGAAGCUAUGGCAAGCAUUGCUACAUGAUGUGGCGGACGAUGUUUGAGAUCGACACAAAGUACGUGCCGAUCGAGCCCAUCGGAAGAGGAUCUUACGGGAUAGUUUGCUCAUCGAUGAACAAGAAUACAAACGAGAUGGUUGCCAUAAAAAAGAUAAACAAUGUCUUUGACAACCACGUGGAUGCGUUGAGAACGCUGCAGGAGAUGAAGCUCCUUCGACACUUGCGUCAUGAGAAUGUCAUUGCUUUGAAGGAUAUAAUGAUGCCAAUACAUAGGAGGAGCUUCAAAGAUGUCUACUUGGUGUCCGAACUGAUGGACACGGAUCUGGAUCGGAUCAUCAACUCAUCUCAAACGCUUAUGACUGAGCACUGCCAAUAUUUCCUUUUUCAGCUGCUCCGAGGCCUGAAGUAUCUUCAUUCAACUGGGAUACUCCAUAGAGACCUGAAACCACUCAACCUUCUAGUUAAUGGAAACUGUGACCUGAAGAUUUGUGACUUUGGUCUUGCCCGAACAAUUAACACUGAAGGUCAGUGUUUGACUGAACAUGUUGUCACCCGAUGGUAUAGAGCUCCAGAGCUGCUGCUCUCUAGCGACAACUAUGGCACCUCCAUAGAUGUGUGGUCAGUUGGCUGCAUCUUUGCUGAGCUUCUUGGCCGCAAGCCAAUCUUUCCUGGAACCAACAGCCUAAAUCAGCUUCAGCUUAUAGUCAAUGUUCUUGGCACCAUGAACGAUGCUGACCUUGAGUUCAUUGAUAAAUCAAGAUCUCGCAAUUACGUCAACUCCCUUUCAUACACCCCUGGGAUUCCCCUCACCAAAAUGUACCCACAAGCGCACCCUCUUGCCAUUGAUCUGUUGCAGAAGAUGUUGGUCUUUGAUCCUUCCAAAAGGAGUAAAUAG
rnacentral:rRNA from 1 species